rnacentral:rRNA from 1 species
CAGCAGCCGCGGUAACACGGAGGGCGCGAGCGUUACCCGGAUUUACUGGGCGUAAAGGGCGUGUAGGCGGCCUGGGGCGUCCCAUGUGAAAGGCCACGGCUCAACCGUGGAGGAGCGUGGGAUACGCUCAGGCUAGAGGGUGGGAGAGGGUGGUGGAAUUCCCGGAGUAGCGGUGAAAUGCGCAGAUACCGGGAGGAACGCCGAUGGCGAAGGCAGCCACCUGGUCCACUUCUGACGCUGAGGCACGAAAGCGUGGGGAGCAAACAGGAUUAGAUACCCCCGUAGUCCCUGUCUCUUAUAA